rnacentral:rRNA from 1 species
AUGGGGAACUUGAAGGCAGAGCUGUCAAAGACAGAGGAGGAGGAGAAGAAGAAGAUGCUGCAAAACUAUGAAACUCUGAAGAACCUGACAUGUGCUCAAGCCAAUGUGAUUAGGAACUUGAAGUUCAAUCAUUUGAAGGAGAAGGAGAGGCUGACAGAAGAGAGGCUUAAACUGCAGUAUCACAUUUCUGAGCUUCAAAAGUCUGAGGAAAAGAUAAAGUUGAAGCUUCAGGGUGUGAAAGCCAUCUUAGAUGAGUAG